UACGAUUUGGUGAAAACAUCCUAGAUGUC
rnacentral:piRNA from 2 species